rnacentral:rRNA from 1 species
UACAGAGGCCCCGAGCGUUAAUCGGAAUCACUGGGCUUAAAGGGUGCGUAGGCGGGUCAGUAAGCGCUUUGUGAAAUCCCACAGCUCAACUGUGGAACCGCAGGGCGAACUGCUGAUCUUGAGGAAGCUAGAGGCUGGUAGAACGAUAGGUGGAGCGGUGGAAUGCGUAGAGAUCGGGUGGAACACCAGCGGCGAAGGCGGCAUCCUGGCCCUGUACUGACGCUGAGGCGCGAUAGCGUGGGGAGCAAACGGG